UUUAGAUUUAUAAACACUUAUAAAAAUAAUCAGCCCAAUAAAUUUCUUUAGUUCAGAGUGAUCAAUUUCCUCCCAUUUGUCAUUUUGUAAAAAAAUCUGA